AUGACAUCCAGGUUGAAGCCCGUGACGGUCAGGGGGGUGUGGCCGCUGGGAAGAAGCAGGGGUGGGGGUGAGGUAGGAACCCUCUCGGGCCACUGCCGCCUCUGCCCCCAGGGUGCUCAGAGGAAGGGCUGCGGCGGCCAGCGGCUGGUGCGUCCCUCCCGCCCCCUCACCUGGCAAUGCUCCACUCGGGCUCCACGCGCUGCACUCGGGGGUCGUCUAUGUACUCGAACUGCAGGUUGUUGUGCACGCGGGCUCGGUCGACGCUCACGGCAACGGGAACGGGCCCCAGCCCGUUGGACGACGGGGGUGAGACACACACGAUCUCAUUCAUCGACCGCCUAGAGGGGGCCCGCAGGAGGCCUGUGAGCAAAGGCUUGGGCAAGAGGGGUGGCCUCUGGCCUGAGAAGGGCUUUUCCCCUGUCGGAGGGUGUGGCUGAGGACUGUCCCCUGUCCUUUACUCUCUAGCCCGUGGAAGGUCCCUUAGCAGCGGGCACCAGGACUUGUUUCCUGAGAUCCGACUCCGGUUCAGUCAGAGAGGGAGCCACUUGCACAAGGGGUUGAGAAUGUGGGGCAGGACCAGGGCUCCUUGGGCUUGAGAGCAACUCCUCUUUUCUGGACUUUUCUAGACUGACUUUUUAACCUGUGCUUAGGGUCUGAUCAGUUAGUAAAUUGAGCAUCUACUAUGCAGAGAAACAAACACACAGUUCCUUGCCCUCAGGGAGCUGAUGGCCCAGGGAGGAGGUAUGAGAUUGUGCUGGGCAAGUGGGAUUUCCACCUGUGGACCCCUUCAGAAUUCUCUCUGGAUUCUCUACAUCCCCAGGGCUUUGCUGGAAUAUCUGACAAAUAACAGGUGUUCAUUUGUUCAUGCUCAGGAGAUGCCCUGAGGAUGAGCCUGUGUGCUUGGGGAGGACGGGCCACGCAAUCGCCAUGCUUCUGAAGCCACCCCUGCGGGGACAUGGUGAACGCUUGAUCCUGGCAGAGACUGAGAGCUCCUGGGCGCCUUCCUCCUUAGCAGUCCUCCUGGUCUCACUUCCAAAUAUUUUUAGAAGCAUCUAGCCCCUAUGAUUCGUGAGAUAUAAAUUGACUAGUGGUAUAUGGUUCUCACAGCGACUGGAAGAGAGUUUGGGCCCCAGACGUGACACGUAACAAAGGGCUGAAGGGGAGGCAGGUCUGGGAGCACGACCAGGGUCAUGUGUGCACACGCCGCCCACUUGCAAUCCCCCAGCUCCUUGGAGCCCACCUCACCCAUAGAACUCGCAGGUCUGGUUGCCCAGGUAAACGGCCACGCUGCUCCCAGCCCCGAGGUAAUGGCCUGUGAUGGUCACCAUGGUUCCUCCGGACUCCGGCCCUCGGAUGGGGUUGAGUGACAGCACAGAAGGGUUCUUUGGGAGGAAGCAGAGACACAAUCACAGCGGAGGUUUUGCCCAAAGGGAGGAACCCAGGUGAGACCGCAAGACAGGAGGGUGCGCUGUGGCCACGCUCAGAGGGGAGGUGCUUUUCCUGUCCUUUCUAUCCCCAAUGCUCUCUCUGUUUACCUGGAGCUGAGAGCCUUUCUAAGGAGGAGGCUCCAGGCACAUCCGGGGAAGGCAGAGGGGCCACGUUUCAGAAUUAAUUAACUCCCCGGGGAGUCCCAUGCUCAUAGCACCGAGGGGAAGGCAGAGAUGACACUGACUAAUCUAUCAAUUAGUUUACAAAUUGAGAACAAUUUGAAAAUGCUUCUCUGUCUGGAGUGUGUACUGAUUUUUUGGCACAAAAUCGAUAGGGCUGAAUAAAGCAUCCCUGCCUGGACUGGGCCACCAAGAGGCUCCAUGAGCAGCCCAGGCACACGUCCUUCCAUCCCCCCCCAGCAUGUGAAUGUCAUGUAAACGUUAACUGUGGCUUCUGCAUCUCUGUCAGGAGGAUGGCCUGACACUGGCCGGGAUUUUCUUGGAAGCUCGCUAAACUGCCCAAUUAAGCUCGAAGCUUAAAAGAAAUGUCAUCUGGGGGGAUUCAAGGUUGCCCCAGUGGACAU
ensembl:lncRNA